rnacentral:lncRNA from 1 species
CAAAUAAUGUGUGAAGUUUUACAUCUAGACUAUCGAUGUCUACUUUAAUAGAAUACACCUAGUCCGGGGUUACUUCAGGUCACCAUCCGGACUCGACUAUUACGGCCAACGUUUGAUUAUUUCGUUAAAUCUCGGAUAAAUGUCUUUUACAUUUCCUAUGUAUUACAUGUUUAAUCAAAUGUUCCGUCAACAUACUUCACGACAAUAAACAGUUUACAUACAGUUAGUUAUCGUAGUGCAAUACACGCAGGUAUACAUAGGAAACUCCAAGCUAGUCCGGGGUCAUGUCAGGUCACA